AAAGAAACGCAAAAACUCUCAAAGAAGAGCAACACGUGAAGAAAAUGGACGCCACCUGAAGGGACGUGGGAGCGGCGUGCAGCAGGAAGGCGACCGACCACCACAACACCACAGAAGGAGAGCUGGCAAAAGGAGACUGAAAAACAGGAAUAGAAGGAGGAGGAGGGGUUGCUGUUGAUUCUGCCCUCCCUCUCUCCUCGCCCUCCUCUGCAUCGCCUCUUCCCUCCUCCUCCUCCUCCGCUCCAUCCUCAGCAGACUGCCCCCUUUUUCCUGUACAGCGAGACGCAGCCGGCGCCACCAUCUUAGAGCAAACGCUGGCAUGAAAUGGAAGUGGGAAGACCAGUCAGUGCAGGUGAGUGCUGUCGGCGCAGGAGGAUCUGCAACAGACGACGGAGGGAUGGCAGGACUGCUCCUUCUGCCGCCGUUUCCCGCCUUUCAGCCUGGAGUAAACGCGGACGACGGCGAUGACUUUGGGACAUUGCGGUGCUCUGUUUUUCGCCUCUUCGGUGUUGCAUUAUGGGAGCCAAUGCUCAAAGCUGGACUUGAUAGUGAACGCAAACAUCACGGCGGUGAUGGACUGUGACACUGUGGGGGAAACAGGGUCCGGACAGAAGAUCAGCAGCUGGAGGCGUCACUCUUCUCUUUGUGUUUCUGAGGGUGUGGCUCUGACGUUUGUAAAUUAUCAUUAAACAAUAUUAAUUAGACUUGAAACUAUAUAAUGUGUCAACUAAUAACUAACAUAAGGCUCCACUCACUGUAGGUGAUAUUUGAUGAGCUGUAGCCCGCGUUGUGUUUGAUUUGCUUUUGUUAUAGUUGCUAGGACUCAAAGACGCGUGAAUGUGAGACCCACGGCAGCAGUGAAUAAUACUGCACUGCGAUUGGACAGCUCCAUGUGUCGGCUGACACAAUGGCGAAGGAGUGAGCUGUCGUCUUUAUACUCUAUGCAACUGUUUUAUCUUCAUUUUUUGUUUUUUUGUUUGUACUUUGGAUUUUUUUUGUUGUUGUUUCUGGGCUGUAGUUUAUAGACGUUCCUCCAGACGUCAUCGAGACACGUGGUUUCUGAGGGAGCCGACACUCCCGUCGUUAAUACACUGAUGCAGAAGUUACAGUGGGCGUGUUGUGCGAGUGUGUGACAGACGACAGAACAUGGUUUCUGUGUCUUGUAUUUGCCGCCUUAACAGACUCUGAUUGGACUGUGCAGCCACGAGCCGCAGUCUGAGUAAACGUGGACUCUCACAUUUAAUAUUCCUGAUGGCAGGAGUGUAUUUGAUCAGCAGGAGAGUAGCUGAGCAGGGCUCAUGGUUCUGUGUGUGUGUGUGUGUGUGUGUGUGUGUGUGUGUGUGUGUGUGUGUGUGUGUGUGUGUGUGUGUGUGUGUGUACACAGAACCUGCCACACUAUUAAAACCUUCCCAGCAGGCUUUGAGACGCAGCAGCUUGGCUCAUAGCCGUCACCUGCUUCGCUGUAAUGCUACAUCUCUGGGUGAGACAUGACAAAUACAUUGGCUUCAAACACCGCCUUAAUUUCCUGUCCUUGACAUUAACACACACACACACACACACACACACACACCCAAAUGCAAUAAAGCAAGUACUAUCGCAGCCUAAUUCAUUCUAUAUUAAUUUCCAGGAAGUGGCAAAUUUUUUAUUACGAUUGAUAAUCUAUGCAAAUCUUUUAAAUAUUACUUUAAACAAUCUAUGUCUAUGCAGUGCUUUUGCAAUUGAUUCAAGGGAGGAUAUCUUGGUCUAAUUUAGAAAAUGUAUUCUUUUGAUAAUCAUGCACAUCCCAGUGCUCAAGACAAUUACUUAUCUGCCUGGAUAAGCUUGAAAUUAUGUUUUUAAUCUCUGGCAAAAAAAAAAAGAAAAAAAAAAAAGGAGUCACUCUUGUGAUAUCAGUCCAGUGGCAUGAAAACCAUGAGUUGUGGUCUAAAAUAAUGAAAUGGGUUGCACUAAAUCUCUUUUUUUUUCUCCUUAAAUGCAGAUCUGUGCGGAAACGCUCUUUAUGUCGUAGCUUAUUGUUUUAGACGAGCGGCCGUCUUUGUGUUACGCAAUCUGACGGCUACGUGUUCACCACAUGUGCCUUUCUGUGGAAAACUACUGUGUUGGAAUAGUAAUAAAGGUUUACAUUGAAAACAA